CUUGGAGGUUGUGCCCUUGAGGCGUGGCUUCCGGAGCUAACGCGUUAAGUCGACCGCCUGGGGAGUACGGCCGCAAGGUUAAAACUCAAAUGAAUUGACGGGGGCCCGCACAAGCGGUGGAGCAUGUGGUUUAAUUCGAUGCAACGCGAAGAACCUUACCUACUCUUGACAUCCAGAGAACUUAGCAGAGAUGCUUUGGUGCCUUCGGGAACUCUGAGACAGGUGCUGCAUGGCUGUCGUCAGCUCGUGUUGUGAAAUGUUGGGUUAAGUCCCGCAACGAGCGCAACCCUUAUCCUUUGUUGCCAGCGAUUCGGUCGGGAACUCAAAGGAGACUGCCAGUGAUAAACUGGAGGAAGGUGGGGAUGACGUCAAGUCAUCAUGGCCCUUACGAGUAGGGCUACACACGUGCUACAAUGGCAUAUACAAAGAGAAGCGACCUCGCGAGAGCAAGCGGACCUCAUAAAGUAUGUCGUAGUCCGGAUUGGAGUCUGCAACUCGACUCCAUGAAGUCGGAAUCGCUAGUAAUCGUGGAUCAGAAUGCCACGGUGAAUACGUUCCCGGGCCUUGUACACACCGCCCGUCACACCAUGGGAGUGGGUUGCAAAAGAAGUAGGUAGCUUAACCUUCGGGAGGGCGCUUACCACUUUGUGAUUCAUGACUGGGGUG
rnacentral:rRNA from 1 species